rnacentral:tRNA from 1 species
ACUAUUUUGGCAGAUAAGUGUGUUAGAUUUAGAAUCUAUUUAUGUAAUUUUGAUUACAAGUAGUA